AGAGGAGAGAGAGCCCAUCGAAUCGCUCUGCGUCCUGAGAGAGGAAUGGCAUCGCACGGCGGUCCAAGACAAAAAAAAAACACACCACAACCCACCUAUCACACACACACACUCACACACAUUCACACACACACACAAGAAGGCAGAGUGUUAGACCGCCAUGAGACAGCACAGCAGCGGGUGUUUCUGAGGAGGAGACGGGAUGAGAAGAGACGGCGGCGGUGGUUCAAACCAGGAACUCUCAGGCCCCGGCUGUGUGGCCUCAACAAGUCCAGUCACCUUAGUUUGAUCCAAGUGUUCACAGAGAAGGUGUUUGAGAGGUGAUCGUAUACGCAGACGAUGAACCGAGAUGUCAUCUUUUACCUGUCGGGGUUUCACAUUCUUCAAACACGUGUGCACAAGAUCUGAACACGUGCACGCAUGAAGACCACAUCACCCCGACCCAGGCCACUUCCUGUCCUUCAACAUGAUCAGACCCCUGACCGUCUUACCUCGGAUCAGCUGAUGGGUUUGCUGGUUGACCCCAGAGCCCGGGCUAAUGAAGUCCAGACUCUCAAACUCUGGAGUGACCUACCUGCGGAAAUCCGGCGCUCUAAAUCUGUCUCUACUUUUAAACCUCUCCUUAAAAGAUUCUAUUUUUAGUCUGUUUAACAUUUAAGACCGUCCUUUUGUUAUUAUGCAUUUAAAAUGUUAAAAUAUGUCAAGUUGUUUGUUGAGAGCAGAGCCGUGAAAAUGAAAGUUAUUAUUGUUAUUGCACUAAAUUAUCUCGUGCGCAAGAUACAAUCAUCAAUUUUAAUCUUGUGCACACAAGUUGACUCUUCAGAACAAGAUAACUAUUAAGUUCACUCAAAAUAAUAAUUGAUUAUAUCAGAUAUAAUAAAAAUUAUCUUGUGUGCAUAAGACAAUAAGUGUGCAAACAAGAUAACUUGCACUAAUAGGAUAUCUUAUUGAGGGAAUGAGUUCAACUUUGUGGACUCAAGUUGAUUUGUUAAAACAAGAUAAUUAUCAAAUUCAUGCAAUAUUAUAAUCUUAGGUAAACAAAUAUCUUGUGUGAAUGUUAUCUUGUGUGCAUAAGACAAUUAGUGUGUGAACAAGAUAACUUCUGCUCAUAGGAUAAUAUCUUUUUCACAUUUUGUGCUCUCAAGGGAAUUAUCGUCAUUACAAGUAAAUGAUCUUGCGCGCAAGAUAAAAUCAUCAAUUUUAAUCUUGUGCACAUAAGUUGACUCUUGAGAACAAGAUAACUAUUAAGUUCACUCAAUAUAAUAAUUUAUUAUAUCAGAUAUAAUAAAUAUUAUCUUGUGUGCAUAAGUAAAUUAGCAUGCUAACAAGGUAACUUGUGCUAACAGGAUAUCUGGUUAAUAUUUUGCGCAGUUAUCUUGUGCAAUUAAGGGAAUUAUAAUUUUUAUUAAAAGUAAAUGAUCUUGCGAACAAGAUAAAAUAUCGUGGGAAUGAGUUCAACUUUGUGGACUCAAGUUGAUUUGUUAAAACAAGAUAAUUAUCAAAUUCAUGCAAUAUGAUAAUCUUAGGUAAACAAAUAUCUUGUGUGAACGUUAUCUUGUGUGCAUAAGACAAUUAGUGUGUGAACAAGAUAACUUCUGCUCUUAGGAUAAUAUCUUUUUCACAUUUUGUGCUCUCAAGGGAAUUAUUCUCAUUACAAGUAAAUGAUCUUGCGCGCAAGAUAUAAUCAUAUUGUAGGAAUGCAUUAAAUCUUGUGGACUCAGGUUGACUCGUUAAAACAAGAUUAUUGUCCAUUUCAUGCAAUAUAUUUAUCUUAUGCAAAUAAAUAUUA